rnacentral:rRNA from 1 species
UACGUAGGGACCAAGCGUUGUUCGGAUUUACUGGGCGUAAAGGGCGCGUAGGCGGCAAUUCAAGUCAUCUGUGAAAUCUCCGGGCUUAACUCGGAACGGUCAGAUGAUACUGCUUUGCUCGAGUGCGGAAGGGGCAAUCGGAAUUCUUGGUGUAGCGGUGAAAUGCGUAGAUAUUGCUCGGAAGGCCAGAGCCGAAGGGGCCCUACUGGUACGUAACUGACACUGAGGCACGAAAGCGUGGGGAGCAAACGGG